rnacentral:rRNA from 1 species
GAUGAACGCUGGCGGCGUGCCUAAUACAUGCAAGUAGAACGCUGAAGGAAGGAGCUUGCUCUUUCCGGAUGAGUUGCGAACGGGUGAGUAACGCGUAGGUAACCUGCCUGGUAGCGGGGGAUAACUAUUGGAAACGAUAGCUAAUACCGCAUAACAGUAGAUGUUGCAUGAUAUCUACUUAAAAGGUGCAAUUGCACCACUACCAGAUGGACCUGCGUUGUAUUAGCUAGUUGGUGAGGUAACGGCUCACCAAGGCGACGAUACAUAGCCGACCUGAGAGGGUGAUCGGCCACACUGGGACUGAGACACGGCCCAGACUCCUACGGGAGGCAGCAGUAGGGAAUCUUCGGCAAUGGACGGAAGUCUGACCGAGCAACGCCGCGUGAGUGAAGAAGGUUUUCGGAUCGCAAAGCUCUGUUGUAAGAGAAGAACGAGUGUGAGAGUGGAAAGUUCACACUGUGACGGUAUCUUACCAGAAAGAGACGGCUAACUACGUG